rnacentral:rRNA from 1 species
AUUGAACGCUGGCGGCAUGCCUUACACAUGCAAGUCGAACGGCAGCACGGGAGCAAUCCUGGUGGCGAGUGGCGAACGGGUGAGUAAUAUAUCGGAACGUGCCCAGUAGUGGGGGAUAGCCCGGCGAAAGCCGGAUUAAUACCGCAUGAGACCUGAGGGUGAAAGCGGGGGAUCGCAAGACCUCGCGCUAUUGGAGCGGCCGAUAUCAGAUUAGCUAGUUGGUGGGGUAAAGGCCUACCAAGGCAACGAUCUGUAGUUGGUCUGAGAGGACGACCAGCCACACUGGGACUGAGACACGGUCCAGACUCCUACGGGAGGCAGCAGUAGGGAAUAUUGGACAAUGGGGGCAACCCUGAUCCAGCCAUGCCGCGUGAGUGAAGAAGGCCCUCGGGUUGUAAAGCUCUUUUGUCCGGAAAGAAAAGCAUCUGGUUAAUACCCGGGUGUUCUGACGGUACCGGAAGAAUAAGCACCGGCUAACUUCGUGCCAGCAGCCGCGGU